GCGCGAGGCGAGGUUGGCGCGAGGCGGCGGCAAGGCAGCUGCGGAGGCGCGGGGUGACGCAGCGGCUCCAGGCGGCGAGGCGGCCACGCUCCGGCCGGGUCCCCACUGCUCCAGGCGGCGCCAUGGAUGAGGCCGUGGGCCACCUUAAGCAAGCGCCGCCCUGCGUUGCCGAGGCGCCGAAUGUCCACUUGGAGGUGCACCAGAGGAGCACAGCCCUGCCAAAAAAGAACAUACUAAGCUGAGCGUUAGAAAGCUGAUCAACAGACAUAACAUUUUGUUUGGUGACUACAUGUGGACCGAGUUUGAUGAUCCUUUUCUGAGCAGAAACGUGCAGUGUGUGUCUAUUGUUGCCACAGAGUUGAAGGUUCAAGACCCACAGGGAAAUCAUCUUUUGGGAUCUUAUGAAGAACUUCUUAUGUGAACAAGUAUUUAUUGAACACCUCCAUUGUGCUAUGCACUCUUCUAAGCAAUGAGCAUCAUUGGUGCUUCACGGAAAAAAAAAAUGUGGUUGCUCUCAAAGAACCUAUA